rnacentral:tRNA from 1 species
GGGUAGAUUUUUAUAAAGCGUGAUUAUUACUGAUGAUACCCAUUAUUUUGUAAGAGUAUGUUCGACUAUGUAACACCUUUUUGCUUCCUUGACACGGAAGAGGUCAGAGGUUCGAUUCCUCUAUCACCCACCA